UCCUUGGUAGUAUAGUAGUUAGUAUUCCCGCCUGUCACACAGGUGACCGGGGUUCAAUUCCCUGCCAGGGAG
rnacentral:tRNA from 1 species